rnacentral:tRNA from 1 species
GCCUGGGUGGCUCAGUCGGUUGAGCAUCCGACUCCAGCUCAGGUCAUGAUCUCACGGCUCAUGGGUUUGAGCCCCAUAUCAGGCU